AGCACAAGGGUAAUAGCUUCAAGUACAUUUGUAUACAUAUUUUCAACAAGAACAGGUAUGUAUUUAAUCAUUCGCUAGGUCGGCAGCAACCAUUAUGCAUACAUUUUAUACAAGCUAUUGCCAUUGUCAAUCGUGAACAUGGAGAGCCUCGAGUCAACUUGAGGAUGGUGCCACGUUGAAGUCAAAUGGUGGCCCCUUUUCCUCUCAUCUAGCUUUUCUGCCAUGUGACUCCUUGCUGUUAAAUCUUUUCAAUGCCCAUGAAGAAAAGUGAUUCUUUCGCCUAAAGCUCUAGAGAUAUUGUUAAAAGAUGGAGGGAAAAGAUAAAGAGUGUUUAAGGGAAGCAAGCCACAAGAACACACCUGGCUAAAAGAGUUUGCUGCCCACAUGGCACAACUGAAUUCUGUGCUCAGAGAUUGUUCUGCUGAAGCCUUUAGAGACACACUGAGUGAGGAAGCGAAGAACCUGUUUCUGCCAGUCUUGUAUCUGGCUGGAUCUAUACACACAGAUCAGUUUUGCUCUUUUGCCUCCAAGUCCUGAGUCAGUGUAAGUCACAUUAAUUAAAAUCUUGAAGCCCCACUUAAGUUUGUAAACUCUGUCUUUAAAACAUGAUGAUCUCGAGAAGGAAAUAGAAUUUUACAGAAUCUGGGAAGGGUCCCCCUCCUAGAGAUAAAGCGCCCAACCCAACCCUGUCUUUACUGCAUGUGGGUAGCCCGAUGCCUCUGUUCCCACUGAUUGCUUUAACCCAACCCUAUAAUAUUUUAAUAUAUAGAAUAUUAUCAAACUAUAAAAGUCUCUUUCCCACAAGGCCCAGUAUGAAAAUAAGAAGGGGAAGACACAGGCCCAAUCCUCUAGCACUAACUCAUUGCAUGGGUCAGUUAUGAUUAUGCCCCAGAUAUCACCCACAGGCCAAGUGCUGGUCAUAGGACCAAAAAUGGCAUCCUUUGCUUAAUAAAAUCAUAUCAUAGGAUGACUGAUUUAUGGCUGGAAGGAAACUGGCAGGUCAUCUAAUCCAACCCUCUUAUUUUAUAAGUGAUGAAAUAUCUAAGAUCAUAUCAUAUUAACUGAAAGAGCUGGGAUUUGAAUUCAGGGUUUCCAACUUGGAAUCUACCCAUUUUCCUUUCACUAUCCUCAUCUUUCAAAUGGAAUUAGGUGAAGAACAGUAGAAAAUUGAGGAAUUUGGGCCAACUCCAGAAGAUGAGUUAAACAUGAAUAAUCUGAAGAAAAAGAUUAGAAACAGAAAGGGUUUGUCUAUAAGGUAGAAUCAAGUUUCCAAUUCCAUGUAGUCACAGACCAGAUGACCACAAGGACUUGGGGACUAAAGCAAAAAGAUUUGGCCACACACACCGGACAAAGGUAAACCCCUAAUCAAGCUAUAGCCAAGGCUCAAGUCGAUUCACAGUCUGAUUCUGCAAACAUGAAAGGAUCAAUGCUGGCCUACUCUGUAAAACCUCAGAUCCUGAGUCCUGGGGAGCCAGUGGCCCUGCUAAGUCGGACCAAGCAAAGGGCUGCCUCAUUGCUCCAGGCAUGAAAGUUUGGGGAGGUCUGGAGACAUUGUCGACUGUUUACAACAGUCUGCAACAGAACCCCGGGACAUGCCAUCCAGGUUCAUACACAAAGGACAGAUGGAAAAAAGAGAGACCUUGUUGUCUUUGCCCCAAUACCCCCACAGAGCUGGAAAAGACUAGCAGCAUCUCCUGAAUCUGCUACAAAAACCAGAACAGAUUGGGGAAAAUGCCCACCCCUUUCAGAAUCAAUUCUUCAAGAAAGUGGAUGUUCUUCCUCUAGUUCAGAGAUCCUGGGAGAUUUCUAAAGGAUAGUGGCUGGGAGAAUCAGAUAGUAGUAGGCCAUUCUCCAUGCAGGGAUGGAGCUAUGUAGCCUUGAGGAUCUAGAGAAGCAAUAAUGGGACUGGAUCACAAAACCCAGAAACAGAGAAAGUGCAAUGAGACAUUUUCUGGCAUCCAAAGGACAGGUUGGGGCCUACUUGUAGGCCCCCAAAAGUGAGCCAACUGAGCAGACUAUAUACUACAGAAUAGGACAUUAAGGGAGAAAGUUCACUGAAAGUCCCUUUGAGGUUGACUCCUCUUUGACAAAUUAGUUUUUUUUUUUGAUCAAGAGGAAACCCUGCCCCUCCACACAUGCCACUACCACCACAUAACACCCAUCC
ensembl:lncRNA